GUGUUUGGUGAGUCAUAAUAACUUUGCGAAUCGCAGCGUCUUCGGACGGCGAUGAAUCAUUCANGUUUCUGCCCUAUCAUCUUUCGAUGGUAGUGUAUUGCACUACCAUGGCGGUGACGGGUAACNGAAAAUUAGGGUUCNAUUCCNGAGAGGGAGCCNGANAGAUGGCUACCACAUCCAAGGAAGGCAGCGGGCGCGUAAAUUACCCAAUCCCAAUUCGGGGAGGUAGUGACAAUAAAUAUCAGUACGGGGCCUUCGGGUCCUGGAUGGAAUGAGUACAAUUUAAAUCCCUUAACGAGGAUCAAUU
rnacentral:rRNA from 1 species